GUGUCGAUUUGGGUUUCCUGUGAAACAAACCGUCGCCAUCUUGGAAACGAAAUCUCACGUCCCCUCCCCUCAUCGUCAAUUAGUAGUCUAUGCGUUGCCUUUCCAAGCUUCGAUUUGGACGGACUCUGUGGAAACCAAGAUUUGGGCUACCUUUGGCAGUCCGCGAUUCACCAGGAUUUUUCGCACUUACCUUGUGUUUCCGAAAAUGUUGAAAGCUCCUUCUUCGAUUUAUACCGCGAAUACGGUGGCGAUAUCAAAGAAUUAUUUGCAAUGUCCAGUCCAGAACUACUAUGAUUGCAAAUCAUUGCCCAAGAAAUAAAAAAAUAAAAAAUGGAUUUCUUCAUUAUUUUAAACCAAGGCAAACACAGCCACGGAGAAGACACAGAGAAAACAGUGGGCUCCAGUGAAUACAUGCAGAAGCUAUUGUUAGGGAUAACCAGGAGAUCAUAAAUUCUGUAUAGUUCACUAUAUGUUAAUACAUGAGCAGUAGUCUUUUCAGUAGCUAUUAUCAUGACCACCACUUAGACCCAAAUAGCUUACUGGGUAUGUACAGGCAUGCAGCUCGGGGUGGGCACGUGGGUUGUGCCCCUCCCACUCAACCACCAAAAAGCAGUCUUUUUUUUAAAUAUACUUACUUUCCAUAAUAUCUAUGACUGCACAUCCCCUCCACAGCUAAUCAGAUUGUUUAUUAUGGUUAUCAGACUUCACCUUUCCUUUUCUAGACAUACAAUGGCUUCAAUUAAAUAAUUUCUUUUGUUUAAUAAAAUAAGACUACAAGCAA